UACGUAGGGGGGCAAGCGUUGUCCGGAUUUAUUGGGCGUAAAGAGCGUGUAGGCGGCCAAGCAGGUCCGCUGUGAAAACUCGAGGCUCAACCUCGAGACGUCGGUGGAAACCGUUUGGCUAGAGUCCGGAAGAGGAGAGUGGAAUUCCCGGUGUAGCGGUGAAAUGCGCAGAUAUCGGGAAGAACACCCGUGGCGAAGGCGGCCCUCUGGCUCGACCCUGACGCUGAGAGGCGAAAGCGUGGGGAGCGAACGGG
rnacentral:rRNA from 1 species